rnacentral:lncRNA from 1 species
AUGAUUCUGAAUUACCCACCUGAACUAAUGAAAUGUAGACAUGGACAGCACACUCAAGAUAUUCAGAAUUUAGAGAUGGGAUCUCCUAUGUUGCCCAGCUGGAGUACAGUGGCUAUUCACAGGCCAGAUCAUAGCACUCUGUUGCCUUGAACUCCUGUCCUCAAGAAAUCCUUCCACCUCAGCUCUGGAGAAGCUAAGAUUACAGAUAUGCACUACCAUGCCCAGCCCCAGCAUUAGGUCACUUUUUGACCAACAGCAUUCAAAGGUAUGAUUGGAUGGAACCCUUAAGGUUAAGCCUCAGGCAUUAUUCCUAAGGCUAUAAGUCAUAGGUCCUGCUAGAGUUAGAAUGCUUUUAAACUAACGUAUGUGAAUCAUCUGGGGAUUUUGUUUAAAUGGAGAUUCUGACACAGUAAGUCCAAAGUGGAGCCUGGGAUUUUGCAUUUCUGACAAACUCCCAGGUGAUGCUGAUGCUGUUGGAACUUGGACCCAAUUUGAGUUGCAAAGUUCUAUAGUUAAUUUAAACAAUCCAUGUCUUGAUCUCUAAUUUUAUCAAGAAAAAAACCCAUUUCAUCACUCAAGUUAGCAAGGUAUGUCACCAGUUCCAUCAUCAAAAACCCAUUUUAGGUAUACAGCAACCUCUUAGCAAAAUAUUGGUUAUUGAUCAAAGACUAAACUUUCAGAAGAGCUCUGUUAGUCAGGGCUCAAGUAUAACCCUCUCUGAGACCAUACUGCAGCUAGAUUACAUCAAGACUGCACAUUUGUGAUUAACAUGCCAGCUGACCACUGCUCAUGUAUGCUUUUUAAAUAGGAAUUUGGGUGUUGGUUUACUACAAGUAAUGUAUAUGAACAAUAUGUCACAUUGCUUAUACCAAGGAGUUUCAAAGUAAAUUUUAGUCAUCGUGACAUGUUUGCCUUUCACUUUUUAACAACCAAUAUACGCAGUCCAUGUAAUUUUACGGUUGUGUGAUCAUUUGAUACUAAGAUGAGGGAGAACACAAAUACUAAAAAGUUGACCUGAAAUGGUUCAUGGAGAUAUAUAGAAUAUAGAGGUGACCUACUAAUACAUGUCCUCCAAAUUAGCAAUGAAAGUCUUAAUGGUCAUCUAAAUUCUCACUGGUAAUAAUGAGAGAAGCUAUUUUGUGCUUUAAAAAUAUAUUCUUUGAAGGCACGAGGGUGUGUCUAGAACAAGGCUUCCAUAGUAAUGAUAGGCUUUUGGACCUAAUAAUUCAAAGAUUGUAUAAGCCAGCAUCAAUAAUUUUUAGAACAUGAUUUAGAAUUAGUGUUGGAAAAUAUGAUUGAAGAGGUUCGACAUAUUUGGAUUCCUAUUAGUCAUUUAAUAAUUUUGUCUUUGUGUUUUUAUUUGUAAUGUAACAAAGCACCAUCAUUGUGUUGUUGAG